CCCUUAGAUGUCCUGGGCCGCACGCGUGUUACACUGAUGCAUUCAACGAGCUUAUAACCUUGGCCGAGAGGCCUGGGCAAUCUUGUUAACGUGCAUCGUGAUAGGGAUAGAUUAUUGAAAUUAUUAAUCUUGAACGAGGAAUUCCUAGUAAACGCAGAUCAUCAAUCUGCAUUGAUUACGUCCCUGCCCUUUGUACACACCGCCCGUCGCACCUACCGAUUGGAUGGUCCGGUGAAGCCUCGGGAUUGUGGUUCUUGCCGCUUUAUUGUGGCGUGACCGCGAGAACUUGUCUAAACCUUAUCAUCUAGAGGAAGGUGAAGCCGUAACA
rnacentral:rRNA from 1 species